rnacentral:lncRNA from 1 species
AACUCCAGAGGCAAAAUCGUGGGCUGAAUCUGAAUCAAUGACUCCAAUUGUAAGUUCCAUUUAUUAUUUUAAUUAUAUAUAUAUAUAUAUAUUUUUUUUAUAACGCAGCAAUUUAUCGAAGCGACGGUCAACAAGACUUUCGGCAAAAAUAAGAAGAAUCGAAUAAUUGGAAUCGGAGAAGCUGCAAGUAUGGUGAGCACAACAAACGAAAGAUGGGCUGCUCCAAAUUGGAAAGGAAAAGACCCGAUCUCAGAGAGCACGACUGUUGAUGCACGACUGAUGCAGUAUGGUCGGAAAAAUUCAAAGCAUUGGAGGUAUUUACAAUAUAUUUGAAUAAUUUUGUUGAUUACCGAACUCAUUGUUGUUUUCAUUUUCAGAACAAGUGUAACGAGAGUCAAAAAGACGUCUCGAAAUACAAGAAAAAGUUCAAUGCUAUGAAAUCCUAUAUGAAGAAAUUGAACAAGACUUUGAAGACUUCUGGACUAGACAUGACGCAGAUGGCUUCUACUUCAAAGUCAACAAUACCGUCUGCAUUCGGAUCAGAUAAUUCUGAUUCUGAUUCAGAAGACUCGCUUUCAGACGAGUG